ensembl:lncRNA
GUUUGGGGUGCUGUGGACUUCCAGUUCAUCCCAAAGGUGCUCCGUGGAGUUGAGGUCAGAGCUCUGUCCUGCAUUCAAGUUCUUCCACUCCAAACUUGACAAACCAGGUCUUCAUGGAGCUCGUUUGUGCACAGGAGCGUUGUCAUGCUGGAAAAGUUUCAGGAGGAUCCAGACAUUUCUAUCCACAGAGGCACUUGUUCAGUCCUUUGUCUUCUCAAGACUGGACUAAUGGAACUCACUCCUGGAAGGUGUCCCCAUGCAUUCCAUCUGACCCCUGCGACUGAUCCAAAAUGCAGCUCCAUGACUUGUUUUCUCCCAAGUUCUCCUACCUCACCCCUUUGCUGCUUUCCAUCCACUGGCUUCGCCUGUUCUCCCACCUCAUCCCUUUGCUGAUUUCCAUCCAUUGGCUUUCCCACAACAGAUUUAAAACACUGAUGGCAAAGCGGAAAAUGGCCCCCGAUCUACCUGCAGGCACUUAUGUGGAAGGCACAGUGGAACUCACUUCUGGAAGGUGUCCUCGUGCAUUCCAUCUGACCCCUGCGACUGAUCCAAAAUGCAGCUGCAUGACUUGUUUUCUCCCAAGUUCUCCAAUCUCACCCCAUUACUGCUUUCCAUCAACUGGCUUCUCCUGUUCUCCCACCUAUAACACCUAUGUGUUUUAAAUCACAUCAGAUUUAAAACACUGAUGGCAAUGUGGAAAAUGGCCCCCCAUCUACCUGAAGGCACUUAUGUGGAAGGCACAGCACCAUGUUGCCUUUGAGCCUCAGACAUGGCUUGACUCACCCUUCCACCCCUUGAGACACAAGGACAACGUGCGUCAUAACCCGACUCUGUCCUGGC